CCUACGGGAGGCAGCAGUGAGGAAUAUUGGUCAAUGGACGGAAGUCUGAACCAGCCAUGCCGCGUGCAGGAAGACGGCCCUAUGAGUUGUAAACUGCUUUUGUACAAGGGUAAACCUGAAUACGUGUAUUCUGCUGAAAGUACUGUAUGAAUAAGGAUCGGCUAACUCCGUGCCAGCAGCCGCGGUAAUACGGAGGAUCCAAGCGUUAUCCGGUUUUAUUGGGUUUAAAGGGAGCGUAAGCGGAUUGAUAAGUUAGAGGUGAAAUGUCCGGGCUUAACUCGGGAACUGCCUCGAAUACUGUUGAUCUAGAGAGUAGAUGCGGUAGGCGGAAUGUAUGGUGUAGCGGUGAAAUGCUUAGAGAUCAUACAGAACACCGAUUGCGAAGGCAGCUUACCAAUCUAUAUCUGACGUUGAGGCACGAAAGCGUGGGGAGCAAACAGGAUUAGAUACCCCGGUAGUC
rnacentral:rRNA from 1 species